rnacentral:rRNA from 1 species
GAUGAACGCUGGCGGCGUGCCUAAUACAUGCAAGUCGAGCGAACAGACGAGAAGCUUGCUUUUCUGAUGUUAGCGGCGGACGGGUGAGUAACACGUGGAUAACCUACCUAUAAGACUGGGAUAACUUCGGGAAACCGGAGCUAAUACCGGAUAAUAUUUUGAACCGCAUGGUUCAAUAGUGAAAGACGGUUUUGCUGUCACUUAUAGAUGGAUCCGCGCUGCAUUAGCUAGUUGGUAAGGUAACGGCUUACCAAGGCAACGAUGCAUAGCCGACCUGAGAGGGUGAUCGGCCACACUGGAACUGAGACACGGUCCAGACUCCUACGGGAGGCAGCAGUAGGGAAUCUUCCGCAAUGGGCGAAAGCCUGACGGAGCAACGCCGCGUGAGUGAUGAAGGUCUUCGGAUCGUAAAACUCUGUUAUUAGGGAAGAACAUAUGUGUAAGUAACUGUGCACAUCUUGACGGUACCUAAUCAGAAAGCCACGGCUAACUACGUG